rnacentral:rRNA from 1 species
GAUGGAUACACUUAGUGGCGGACGGGUGAGUAACGCGUGGGUACCUGCCUCACACUGGGGGAUAACAGUUAGAAAUAGCUGCUAAUACCGCAUAAGUCCGCAUGGAAAAAACUCCGGUGGUGUGAGAUGGACCCGCGUCUGAUUAGCCAGUUGGCGGGGUAACGGCCCACCAAAGCGACGAUCAGUAGCCGGCCUGAGAGGGUGACCGGCCACAUUGGGACUGAGACACGGCCCAGACUCCUACGGGAGGCAGCAGUGGGGGAUAUUGCACAAUGGGGGAAACCCUGAUGCAGCGACGCCGCGUGGAGGAAGAAGGUUUUCGGAUUGUAAACUCCUGUCGUUAGGGACGAUAUGACGGUACCUAACAAGAAAGCACCGGCUAACUACGUGCCAGCAGCCGCGGUAAAACGUAGGGUGCAAGCGUUGUCCGGAAUUACUGGGUGUAAAGGGAGCGCAGGCGGGAAGACAAGUUGGAAGUGAAAACCAUGGGCUCAACCCAUGAAUUGCUUUCAAAACUGUUUUUCUUGAGUAGUGCAGAGGUAGAUGGAAUUCCCGGUGUAGCGGUGGAAUGCGUAGAUAUCGGGAGGAACACCAGUGGCGAAGGCGGUCUACUGGGCACCAACUGACGCUGAGGCUCGAAAGCAUGGGUAGC